ACAGCUCAUGUACGGUUUUAACCCUAAAUGUACGUUUUCAGCGCUGGAUAUGUGCGUUUUGAGAACUCCGUUGCGGCAACACUGCACUCCCUCCACUUCAUUCAUACAAUACAACAUACAAUAACAAUGAUAAAACAAAAUUACAAAUGGAAUUUCCUUAUUUAAAUAGAUAUUUGUGCACUAAAUACAUAAUAAUAUGACAAAGAAGAAGAAGACGUUGCGUGUCACCGUAUAGCCAAGGAAAUAUCUUGUGAAAGUUUUAACUCAAGGCGGAAAUUUAUUGAAAAAAUACUCAACAUAACCUACAAUUACAGUGAAAUACUGAAAAUAUCUUGUACCGUGAUAAUAUUUCUGAAUAAUAAGUGCAAACCCAUACUCUAAGAUCGUGCUUUCAACCACAUACUUAAUACAAUUCCAUAAUCAUAUCGAAAUCCAAAAGUUCGUAAGUCGUAAGUGAUCAUAGUUUAGGUGUGUACUUAUUAGACUCAUGCAUUGUAAACUCUAUAAACGAUUACUCGUAAUGUAUUAAUCAUAUUAAAAGUUGAA